AUGACCACAGCCUUACCUAGAACCCCUGGGGGAGCUGCAGCUCUAUAGAAUAUUGCAGAAAGCCAACCUGCUUACUUACUUUGAUGCCUUUAUCCAACAAGGUGGUAAUGUUGUCCAGCAACUGUGUGAAGCUGGAGAAGAGAAAUUUUUGAAAAUAAUGGCACUCGUGGGCAUGGCAAGCAAGCCCUUUCACGUUAGAAGGCUUCAGAAGGCUUUGAGAGACUGGUUUACAAACCCUGGCCUUUUCAAUCAGCCAUUGACUUCCCUUCCUGUCGGUAGCAUACCCAUCUCUAAAUUACCAGAGGGAUCGCCAGCAUGACUGGGGAUAUCCUGCAGCAGUUACGAAAGGAGUAGCAGCUCAUGAGAGCCACAUUUAAAAAUCCCUAAUUGUGCCACCACCACCUGAAUGCAGAGCUUGGGUAAGGGCAAGUCAGAAGUUAGCACUGCAGAGUGUCAGCGAAUCCAGACUCUGGCAAGGACACCAUGCCACUGAAAGCGAGCAUAGUCUCUCCCCAGCAGACCUGGGCUCCCCGGCCUCUCGAAAGGAAAGCAGUGAAAUCCUGGCUGCUGCUGCUGCUCUCUCUGUGGCCGAGUGUGUGGAGCAGAUGGCCCCCACGCUGCCCAAAAGUGACUCGAAUGAAAUAAAGAGCUGCUGAAGAACAGUAAGAAGUUGGCCAAAAUGAUCCCUCACAUCUUUGAGAUGAGUGAUGAAGAGCCACACAGAGGAGAUUAGAAAAUACAGCGCCAUCUAUGGGCGAUUUGACUCCAAAAGAAAGGAUGGUAAACACCUUACAUUGCAUGACCUUACUGUUAAUGAGGCAGCCACUCAGCUGUGUGUGAAGGACAAUGCCCUGCUGAAAAGAAGAGUUGAGCUUUUUGCCCUGGCCAGGCAGGUUUCUAGAGAGGUUACGUACAAGUACACUUACAGGACCACCAGGUUAAAAUGUGGCGAAAGAGAUGAAUUAUCUCCAGAGAGAAUUAAAAUAAAGUAUGGAAUUCCCGUCUUCCAGGACUCUGUGCCAACAGCAGGCUAGAACCAAGAGUGAAAGUCUCAGUUCACAGCAGGCUGAAAAGGGGCUGGCGAAGCAGAUGGAGAUCUUGUGUGUCCAGGCCGGUUAUAAAAGGCUGCAGCAAGAGAGGAGACUCACUGCCAGGCUCUACAGGCAGAGCUCAGGCGAGGAGAGCCCUGAUGACGAUCUGCCUUCUGAUAGCUCUGAUGGAGAAGGAGAAAGACCUAUGAAUAUCAGAAUUCCUAGUGUGCAGAACAGACAACCCCAUCAUUUUGUGGUGGAUGGAGAGCUGAGUAGGCUUUACUGCAGUAAGGCGAAGUCCCAUUCAUCAGAGAGCCUUGGGAUUUUAAAAAACUGUCCUCACUUUUCAUUCACCUUGGAAAAGAAAGUUAUUCAAACAGAGCCCGAAGACCCAAGAUAG
rnacentral:lncRNA from 1 species